rnacentral:pre_miRNA from 1 species
UACGUCGGUGCCGUGUUCUGUUCCUGACUCAGCUGGCGCCCUCUGUUCUGUCACAGAACACGGGACCCACCGCAU